rnacentral:rRNA from 1 species
AUUGAACGCUGGCGGCAUGCCUUACACAUGCAAGUCGAACGCGAAAGCGGAGCAAUCCGCAAGUAGAGUGGCGAACGGGUGAGUAAUACAUCGGAACAUUUCCAGUAGCGGGGGAUAACCUGUCGAAAGAUAGCCUAAUACCGCAUACGCCCUACGGGGGAAAGCGGAGGACCGCAAGGCGUCGCACUAUUGGAGUGGCCGAUGUCGGAUUAGCUAGUUGGCGGGGUAAAAGCCCACCAAGGCUACGAUCCGUAGCUGGUCUGAGAGGACGAUCAGCCACACUGGAACUGAGACACGGUCCAGACUCCUACGGGAGGCAGCAGUGGGGAAUUUUGGACAAUGGGCGCAAGCCUGUUCCAGCCAUGCCGCGUGAGUGAAGAAGGCCUUCGGGUUGUAAAGCUCUUUCGGUGGGGACGAAACGGUUCGUGCUAAUACCAUGAACUAAUGACGGUACCCGAAGAAGAAGCACCGGCUAACUACGUGCCAGCAGCCGCCGCUG